CUUCGAUGGGAUCUUGUGGAACCAGGUCAACGCUCUUAGGUAGCGUCUCUCACUUGAAAUAGGUUCAGGCACGGUUCAGAAUCCGAAUCGAAGU
rnacentral:tRNA from 1 species